GGUCCAACUCCAACUAACAUAAUUUUUCCACAAGCCAUUGACUUGGAAGGUUGCAGGAAACAACCACCGACGCGGAGAAGUUUGAAAUUUGUUCACGUUUCCACGUUUCUAUCAUCCAGAAAAACACACACACACAGAGAUCUUCAACAAAGCGUUCAUGAAGUAGAAUUUGUGAAAUUAUCAAACCACGACAAGUUGAUGCAGAAAGCAAUUGAAGCAGAGGAUGAUGUUUAUUAUCUUCCAAGAUUUGGUUCGUGGAAUUCUGCGUCGCCGCCGUCAACAUCACUUAGAUCAUUGGGAUUGGGGUUGUCGUCGCAGGAGGAAGAACAAAUAAAUGUGAGAGUCAAGCUAGCACCUCAGAGCAAUGUUGAAGGAGAACAGGUCGGGAAGAUCCAUAAAGAGGAAGCAGUGUGCAGAUUCUGUUUUAAUAACAUAUUUCAAUAUGAAAAUAUUUUUAUGACAAAAUGCAACUGCAAAAUCAUCGCCUUGACCCAUGAAAACUGCACAAUGGAGCGCCAGCGGUCCAGAGAAGAAGGGAACUUCAAAUGCAAAUACUGUGAACAAGAUAUCCAAAAUGUACCCGUGACAUUAUCAAGGGCAGAUAAAGGAAAGCCAGAGAAACCGAGCUCGACUUCAAAAAGGCGUACGUGGAAUUGCUUUGGGUUUUGCUGUAAGGCAUAAACAACAGCUAUGGUGGAAUUUUUCAUGUAGUAGCUCUUAGAGGUGAUUUGGUGGUUCCUUCAAAGUCUAUUUACUUGGCGCUUUGUUUCUGGCUUGUAAUCUAAAUGAUUUCUUUCUCUCGUUUCUUUUUGGUCUAAUUCUAUACUAAAUGUGCAAUAAGCUUGUGUGUCAUGUGCUCGUUGAGUUGCUGUAGUUGGUGAUAUUGCAAGCAAAUUACAUUUUGCA